GGUGGACGCUCGGGCGGAGCUACGUGUGCCAACGUGCGCUGGGCGGGGCGACUGGCCAACCUUGUGGGAUUACGUCAGCGCUGCCACCACGGCUCGCGCCUGCGCAGGAAGCAACAGAGGGCGGCUCAGGGCCUGAGGCGGAGCUGUUGGAGGCACGCGCACGCGCGUACCCGCUGUUCUGCGCGUUCCUUGCCGCGGCGACUGGACACCGUAGCUCCUAGCUGGCGUGCUGCGGGUGGCCCGCGGCCGGUCUCCCGCAGGGGGCGCGGAGGGCGGGUCCGUGCCCUACUGGGCACCUGCAGUCUUCCCAGUCUUCGGUCCAGGCUCGUGGACGGAGCCGCCCCACAACGGUUCCACUGGGUGAAAUGCAGCUGCUGCCGGGAGGCUCUCCAGCCUGCUGUUUGCACCCAGUCCUUAAUCCUAACUAAACCUUCUACGAAACAUCGGCUAAGGUUCAGUUUGCCUUCGCAGCACAUGGCUGAUCUUUCCUUCCUGCGGCCGCUGCGCACUGUCUUACCAGCCCGUGUCGGGGAGAGAGAGAGAGAGAAAGACAAAUGCAAAUUAAAAUUGAGCUUAACUCGCCCUGUUGGAAGUGCGAGGGUGCCCUAAAGGCUCACUGUAGGAAUCGUCUCGAACAGGAAACUGCUAGCCCCAGUGCUGCUUCACAGCCUACGACGAGGGCAGCUCUGAAACGCGAGUGCCAGGGGGACAGCAGCCCAACUGACGUGGAGUGCGUCGCCUCAAGUCGCAAAACUUGCCUCCUGUCGCAAAGAGCAGGACCCUCGAGCCGGCUGUCCACACAGCAGAGGCCCCGUAAAUCCAUGAGGAAAGAUUGGCCGGCGUCUCUGCUGAGGAAGACUCGGCACUGUGGUCCUUGACUCCAGGAGACGGCAAAAUCGCUUUUCACCGGUGCUCAGCAGGCCUGGAGUUGUUUUAAUGACUUGCCUUACGAAAAGGUGGCCAGCUUCUCCAGCGUAUUGGCCAUUUGUGUAUCUCUUAUGGAGAAAUCUAUUCAGAUUCUUUGUCCAUUUUUAAAUUGAGUUGUAACUAUUGAGUGUGAUAGUCUUUUUAUAUUUUGGAUAAAAAGUACCUUCCCAGUGUAGCAAAAGGCAGCUUCUAGGCAGGAAAAAGACAGGUUUUAUUUAAAAAUUAAUGGGAAAUCUUACUGGGGGCAGCUUCUGCUUCUAUAGGUAGACUCUACAGUUAGAGCAAUUCGAACGACAGAGACAGACAACACCCAGAGAGGCGCCCACCAUGAGAAUUUAUCAGAAAGAGUUAACAAAGCAAGGAGGAAGCCAGAAACUUGAAAGAACAGGGAAAUCAGCCCCCUCAUCCACCUCUGAUAAAAUGCAAAAGAGACAAGAUGGCAGCCACCUAAGGACUCUUAUUUAAUAUUUAAAAGACACACCCCGAUACAUACUUAUAUGUAUAUUCUCAGUUUAGCAUCACUAUUCCUCCACCAGAUAUAUACCUGUCCCCUUUGCUUGGUCAUUAACUCUAAGUUACUUUAUAAGCAUCCCCAUCCAUCGCAAAAGGGCAGAAAGGUAUCAAAGGCCAGAAAGAAUCUAGACAGAAGUGCCAGGUUAGGAUCAAAGGCAGCCAGACAGCCAAUCAGAUGGAUGGUGAACUUCUGACACAUGAGGGAUGGAAGAAAUCACUAGUCCUAAAUAAAAAGAGACUGAGGAUAAAAAUCCACGGGUACUCACUUCUGAUGCUCCCUAUUCUUCCAAGGUAGCUAUCUAUCUUCUUUUUUCUGUCUUUUCCGAAAUAAACAGUCUUAUAAAGUCU